rnacentral:rRNA from 1 species
GAACGCUGGCGGCGUGCCUAAUACAUACAAGUCGAACGCUUUGUGGUUCAACUGAUUUGAAGAGCUUGCUCAGAUAUGACGAUGGACAUUGCAAAGAGUGGCGAACGGGUGAGUAACACGUGGGAAACCUACCUCUUAGCAGGGGAUAACAUUUGGAAACAGAUGCUAAUACCGUAUAACAAUGACAACCGCAUGGUUGUUAUUUAAAAGAUGGUUCUGCUAUCACUAAGAGAUGGUCCCGCGGUGCAUUAGCUAGUUGGUAAGGUAAUGGCUUACCAAGGCGAUGAUGCAUAGCCGAGUUGAGAGACUGAUCGGCCACAAUGGGACUGAGACACGGCCCAUACUCCUACGGGAGGCAGCAGUAGGGAAUCUUCCACAAUGGGCGAAAGCCUGAUGGAGCAACGCCGCGUGUGUGAUGAAGGGUUUCGGCUCGUAAAACACUGUUGUAAGAGAAGAAUGACAUUGAGAGUAACUGUUCAAUGUGUGACGGUAUCUUACCAGAAAGGAACGGCUAAAUACGUGCCAGCAGCCGCGGUAAUACGUAUGUUCCAAGCGUUAUCCGGAUUUAUUGGGCGUAAAGCGAGCGCAGACGGUUAUUUAAGUCUGAAGUGAAAGCCCUCAGCUCAACUGAGGAAUUGCUUUGGAAACUGGAUGACUUGAGUGCAGUAGAGGAAAGUGGAACUCCAUGUGUAGCGGUGAAAUGCGUAGAUAUAUGGAAGAACACCAGUGGCGAAGGCGGCUUUCUGGACUGUAACUGACGUUGAGGCUCGAAAGUGUGGGUAGCAAACAGGAUUAGAUACCCUGGUAGUCCACACCGUAAACGAUGAGUGCUAGGUGUUUGAGGGUUUCCGCCCUUAAGUGCCGCAGCUAACGCAUUAAGCACUCCGCCUGGGGAGUACGACCGCAAGGUUGAAACUCAAAGGAAUUGACGGGGACCCGCACAAGCGGUGGAGCAUGUGGUUUAAUUCGAAGCAACGCGAAGAACCUUACCAGGUCUUGACAUCCCUUGACAACUCCAGAGAUGGAGCGUUCCCUUCGGGGACAAGGUGACAGGUGGUGCAUGGUUGUCGUCAGCUCGUGUCGUGAGAUGUUGGGUUAAGUCCCGCAACGAGCGCAACCCUUAUUACUAGUUGCCAGCAUUCAGUUGGGCACUCUAGUGAGACUGCCGGUGACAAACCGGAGGAAGGUGGGGAUGACGUCAAAUCAUCAUGCCCCUUAUGACCUGGGCUACACACGUGCUACAAUGGCGUAUACAACGAGUUGCCAACCCGCGAGGGUGAGCUAAUCUCUUAAAGUACGUCUCAGUUCGGAUUGUAGGCUGCAACUCGCCUACAUGAAGUCGGAAUCGCUAGUAAUCGCGGAUCAGCACGCCGCGGUGAAUACGUUCCCGGGUCUUGUACACACCGCCCGUCACACCAUGAGAGUUUGUAACACCCAAAGCCGGUGGGGUAACCUUCGGGAGCCAGCCGUCUAAGGUGGGACAGAUGAUUAGGGUG